rnacentral:rRNA from 1 species
GACGAACGCUGGCGGCGUGGAUUAGGCAUGCAAGUCGGACGGUAGGGCUUUAUCGUAAGAUAGAGUUUGAGAGUGGCGAACGGGUGAGUAACACGUAGGAAUCUACCCUUAAGACGGGGACAACCCAGGGAAACUUGGGCUAAUACCGGAUGAGAGUGCGAGAGAUUGCAUUUAAAAGGAUGGCGAAAGUUAUCGCUUAGGGAUGAGCCUGCGGUCUAUUAGUUAGUUGGUGGGGUAAGAGCUCACCAAGGCGAUGAUAGAUAGGCGGCCUUAACGGGUGGUCGCCCACAUUGGGAUUGAGAUACGGCCCAGACUCCUACGGGAGGCAGCAGUCGAGAAUAGUCUACAAUGGCCGGAAGGCUGAUAGUGCGACGCCGCGUGAACGAGGGAGCCCUUCGGGUGUAAAGUUCUUUUCUAUACGAGCAGUGCUAUAUAUAUGGAUAGUAUAUAUAGAGGGAUAGUAGUAUAGGAAUAAGCAACGGCUAACUCCGUGCCAGCAGCCGAC